rnacentral:tRNA from 1 species
GCCCGCUAUCGGAGUCGAACCGAUGACCAUCGCAUUACAAGUGCGGKGCUC